rnacentral:rRNA from 1 species
GUACGGGAGGCAGCAGUGGGGAAUUUUGGACAAUGGGCGCAAGCCUGAUCCAGCCAUUCCGCGUGAGUGAAGAAGGCCUUCGGGUUGUAAAGCUCUUUCGCAAGGGAAGAAACGUGACGAGCGAAUAACUCGUCAUAAUGACGGUACCUUGAUAAGAAGCACCGGCUAACUACGUGCCAGCAGCCGCGGUAAUACGUAGGGUGCGAGCGUUAAUCGGAAUUACUGGGCGUAAAGCGUGCGCAGGCGGUUUUGUAAGUCAGAUGUGAAAUCCCCGAGCUCAACUUGGGAACUGCGUUUGAAACUACAAGGCUAGAAUAGGUCAGAGGGGGGUAGAAUUCCACGUGUAGCAGUGAAAUGCGUAGAGAUGUGGAGGAAUAUCAAUGGCGAAGGCAGCCCCCUGGGAUCAUAUUGACGCUCAUGCACGAAAGCGUGGGGAGCAAACAGGAUUAGAUACCCGUGUAGUCC